AAUUACAUUAAAAGUCUUUUGUAGGUA
rnacentral:sRNA from 1 species